rnacentral:rRNA from 1 species
UGAAAGUAAAGGCGAUUGAAAUCAWAAUUUUUUCUUUGAAUUUACAAAAUWAAAYARUUGAUUAUAUCUAUAGAACUAGUACUGUGAAGGAAAUUAAUAAAUAAUUUAUAUURAAAAAUGAAAAUCAUUUACCUUUUGYAUAAUGGGCUUAUAAAAUAAUAAUUAGCAAGCUAYAAGGCUAAAUAAUUUAYARAGUUAAUUAUUCCCGAAACUUAACGAUCUAAUUGUGAAUWAUUUWYAGAAUGAACCAAUAAAUGAUAAAAAUUUUUGGAUAAUUUGCAAUUGGCAGUGARAAACUAAUCGAGUUAAGARAUAGCUGGUUUUUCAUGAAAKUUAUAWAAGUAAUUUUUUUUAAAAAAAAGCAGUUAUUWAAUGCAAAGAUUAUUUAACGAGUAAAAAACAAUUUAUAUCCAACAUCAAUGAACUCUAUAAACAYUUAGAAAUAAAUUUAUGAUUUAGACAAAAAGYAAAUAAGCUUAGAAUCAGCUAUAUUUUAAAAAUUACGUAAAACUUUACUUUAGAAAAAUUAUAAUUUUACAAUAUAGUUAAUUAUUAUCAUUUUUGUGGAAAAUAGUAAUGAAAUUUCUUUUAAUACAUUAUGAAAAUUUUAAAAGAGUAAUAAUAUAAGCAUGAGUAAAAUUAAAUUUAUCCUAUUUUUUUCUUAAUUUAAUAAAUUGAUUNNGGUAAUACAAUUUCUCAAUUUAUAAGGAAUAUAUUAA